UGAUCGUUUAAUUCAGGUAAAAUCGACUAGUGCAUCAGGGUAUUUUUGACGUUAUCGGUAUUUCAGAUAUAUUUACUACAUUGGUCAACUUCGAUCAUUUUACUUGAUGUAGUUUUCCUAUUCUCCAUUCUUUAAGCAUAGAGGGCAGAGCAAAAUCUUUGAUUUUUACGCAGUCGAUAAUUCAGAACAUGUGACACCUUGGCCUAUAAGCUUGUAAUAUCUAUCCUAUGCCUCGUCUGUGAUAGAAAACAAAAUUCAUAGUGCCACCAACUUCGUUCUCUAUCGUUACAUAUCACUUCAUCGCGUUUAGUCUUGCUUUCAUCUUUUGUUAUUGAUGCGCGGCAAUAAGAACCAUCCGUUGAAUAUUGAGACGUCUGAACAUCGUGAGCGGAAGUGUUCCGUUGCCUCCCUGACUUUUUCGCUUUUAGGUGUGUAUCAAAAUAGUACGGUUCAGUGUGGCCAAAUCGGGGAAAUUGAGAAGAACACAGUGUACCAUCUCCUUGGCGUUACCGACGAGUUCUGUGAUGUUUGCGGAGGUGUUUGGUGGAUGCCGCUAAUGAGGAAUGGGGUAGUGGAAGGGAGAAUGGAGCCGCAAGUUGUAAGCAAAUUACAUUUUAAAAAAUGCUCUUAUAUAAACUGCGGUGUUACAAGUAGAAAUACCACGGAUGGUACAUCGUUUCAUACUUUUCCCAUUAAGGAUCAUGAUCGAUGUAUAACAUGGCUUGUUAAUUGUGGUCUAGAUGAUUGGGUUGUGGAAAAUGACAGUUUUUUUAAACAUAAGUACGUAUGCAGUAGACAUUUUAGUAAAGAUUGCAAGCAUGCUUCCGGCCGACUUACUAAGUCGGCUGUUCCAAAUUUAUAUGACCAUGAUAACAAUUUAGAAUCUACCACCUCGCAUACUACUGAGAUUGAUGUUCAAGCUUUAAUGAAAGAAAACAAUUUUUUGAAAAAACGGUUGUUGGAAGCCGAGAAGACAAUAGAGCAAGAGAAGAUUCGUUACGAGAAUCUUCUGUCGCGAUAUCGAACGAAAUGUGAGCAAAGCGAAAAGAGAAAGAAAGUAUAGUUUCUAUUGAACGGUUAUUUAAAGUAUAAUUCAAUGUGAGUUUUACGUUUCUGUACGUAUGAUAAAAUGGAAAAUUUUCGAAAUGAAUAUAAGAGUAAACCUUUCGGUUUCGGUAACACAGGCGAGUCACAAUUCAUUCGAACUCAGAAACGUGAAAAGUGGCAUAAAAAUAAAAGAGCUAAAUUUUUUAAUGAAAACAGAAGUAUUUUAGACAGCUUGGUAAACACAGCUCACAGUGAAGAAAGUAAGAAAUCUUCUGUAUUUGAAAAUCUUAUGACACAACUACUAAAAUGAAGAGCAAAGCAUGAUCUUUAGAAAAAGUUGGAGCAAGUAAAGAGGAAACAGCCUUUUAUAGUUGGAGCUGUUCAUCACAAUAUAUAUUCACCAGGAAUGAAAAAUUAACAUUUCGCAUCAGGCAUGAUAAAUAAGAAGGCAUUUAAAUCAAACGUAUCCAUGGCUCUAUUGGUUCCACCAAAAAGAAUUAUAAGAGCCACAGAGAAACAAUUAAUGUACAAAACACAAGUAAAUGAGGUAAUAAAAGUUCAAGCAAAACUCACAUUUCUUGAGAAGAACAAACAGUCCAAAGUAUCAAAGGAAAAAGAAUAUUCCUUUGCUCCAGAGAAUCAUAAAUUUGAGCCGCCAGAAGGACUGCCUCAAGUACCAUUAUUUGAUAGACUCAGGUGCACUAUGACACCUGUCAUUUCAAAUAAAUUUGUAUCAACAUUUUCAAAAAUUACACGGGCGAGCGGAGGUUAUAAUAAUGCAAACUUUACCAUAGAACAGAUCAAUAGCAAAAUCUUAAAUAUGUCUUAUACUAUUGGAAAGGGAAUCAGAUAAUGGUGAUAACACAGAGGAAGGUUCUGUCGAACCCAUUAUAUUAAGAUUAUUUUCUAAUAAAGAGGAAAUAUUUUUUUCAAGAAAUGAAAAUGAUAAAAGACAAUGUAUGUAUGUACAUUGCUCAAAUAUUAUUACCAUAUAAGCGCGGUUGCGUUGUUUGAUACUUUCUGAUGUAAAAAGAGUUUCGCUUGAUCGCAUUGGUUUGCACUUUUGAUCAGAUUUUUGCAAUAAUCCAUAGCACUCAAACGACUAAUGAUGACAGAAAGAGAUUAUUGUCCUGCCUAUUAGAAAUUAAUGACGUCAAUAUAAGCGUAUCUAUUUUUAUAAAUUAGGCUGAGAUGAUUAUUUAUAAUUG